rnacentral:rRNA from 1 species
CCCGCUGAACUUAAGCAUAUCAAUAAGCGGAGGAAAAGAAACUAACAAGGAUUCCCCUAGUAACUGCGAGUGAAGCGGGAAAAGCUCAAAUUUGAAAUCUGGCGGUUUUUGACUGUCCGAGUUGUAAUCUAGAGAAGUGUUACCUGCGCUGGACCGUGUACAAGUCUUCUGGAAUGGAGCAUCAUAGAGGGUGAGAAUCCCGUCUUUGACACGGACGACCUGUGCAUUAUGGGUGCGCUCUCAAAGAGUCGAGUUGUUUGGGAAUGCAGCUCAAAAUGGGUGGUAAAUGCCAUCUAAAGCUAAAUAUUGGCGAGAGACCGAUAGCGAACAAGUACCGUGAGGGAAAGAUGAAAAGAACUUUGGAAAGAGAGUUAAACAGUACGUGAAAUUGCUGAAAGGGAAACGCUUGAAGUCAGUCACGUUGGCUAGAAAUCAGCCUUGCUUUUGCUGGGUGUACUUUCUGGUUGACGGGUCAGCAUCGAUUUUGACUGCUGGAUAAAGUCUUUGGGAAUGUGGCAUCUUUGGAUGUGUUAUAGCCCAUUGUCGCAUGCAGUGGUUGGGAUCGAGGAACUCAGCACGCCUGCAAGGGCCGGGUUUCGACCACGCUACGUGCUUAGGAUGCUGGCAUAAUGGCUUUAAUCGACCCGUCUUGAAACACGGACCAAGGAGUCUAACAUGCCUGCGAGUGUUUGGGUGGAAAACUCAUGCGCGUAAUGAAAGUGAAAGUUGAGAUCCCUGUAAUGGGAGAGCAUUGACGCCCGGACCAGACCUUCUGUGACGGAUCCGCGGUAGAGCAUGUAUGUUGGGACCCGAAAGAUGGUGAACUAUGCCUGAAUAGGGUGAAGCCAGAGGAAACUCUGGUGGAGGCUCGUAGCGAUUCUGACGUGCAAAUCGAUCGUCAAAUUUGGGUAUAGGGGCGAAAGACUAAUCGAACCAUCUAGUAGCUGGUUCCUGCC